rnacentral:rRNA from 1 species
GAUGAACGCUGGCGGCGUGCCUAAUACAUGCAAGUCGAGCGAACAGACGAGGAUCGUGCUCCUCUGACGUGGGCAACGGGCGGGUGAGUAACGCGUGGAUAACCUACCUAUUAGGCUGGGAUAAGGGCGGGAAGGCGGAGCUCAUACCAGGUAAUAUAUUGAACCGCGGGGGGCGGUAGUGAAAGACGGUUUGGGUGUCGCUUAUAGAUGAUUCCCCUCCGCAUUAGCUAGUGGCGAAGGUAACGGCUUACCAAGGCGACGAUGCGUAGCCGACCUGAGAGGCUGAUCGGCCACCCUGGAACUGAGACACGGUCCAGACUCCUGCGGGAGGCAGCAGUCGGGAAUCUGCCGCAAUAGGCGAAAGCUUGACGGAGCAACGGCGCGUGAGUGAUGACGGUCUUCGGUUCGUAAAGCUCUGUUAUUAGGGAAGAACAACUGUGUAAGUAACUAUGGACGUCUUGACGGUACCUAAACAGAAAGCCCCGGCUAACUACGUG